AAGCACAGAGAUACUGGGUUAGAGCAUGAUCCAAACAAGAAUUGCUGGAGCAAGUUCUGAAUCCCAUGCCAUGCCUGUGCUCUCACCAGUCCAGGUACUCUGUCCCAAGGACCUUGCAGUGAUGUGGUGUGAUUGCAGAGUUCCCAGUCCCAGCACUGGUCACCUGCAUCCCAGCACGACCCAGUGCUGCGCUGAGAUGGAUCCAUGCCCUGAACCUGAAGGUCAGGGUCAUCUAUGUCCCCAUGAGAGCCAGCCCGUGGUGCCUCCCUAUGCUCACCGACUGGAGUUUGACAAGUGGCAGGUGGCUGGGAUGGCAAGCCACAGCCACUCCUGGUGCUGGGCCGUGGCAGAGCAGCAAGAUGGGAAAGGGGAAGGCUCUGGUGUUAUUUACCUGGGACUAAACUCAGGCACCGUUUGCUAAAAUAGAAGCCGGGCUUAAAUUGAUUCCUAGUGUCUAUAUUUCAUGUUGAAAAUUGGCUUGUAAAUCCAUGUUUUGAUCUAUGAGGGCCGUCUCCUUAAGAAAAAGCAAGAGUAAAUGUGUAAUUUCUCCCUUGACAGCACACGGCGCAGAGGCGAUCCUUCUUCCCGCUCCCCUCCGUUUCGGGACAGCUCCACUCGUUCCGAUUACCACUCUUUCUUCCUCGCCCCACGCCUUGAUGUCUCCAUUUCAUUACCGCCCGCCCAUUUAUCAAGCUGUUACCGUAAGGGUGACUUUGCCCACUUGCGUGUGGCAGCGGGGCCUGGCUGACACGGGGAGAGGGUGCCCCGGGAGGGGGGUACAGGCAAGGCCCCCCUCUCCCCGCCGCUGCUGGAUGGAUGUUGUGGUGGAGGGAAGGCUGCAUCAUUACUGAUGUGUAAAUGAUAAAGAAGCCUCCACAUCCAUCUCCCAACUGUAAAUCCAGGGAGUGCUUUAUAAUCAAGCUACAGCGAUAAUAAUGUGAAAUUAGGUCUCUCUAUCAACGGGAGGAGGCCUUUUAAUCACAGCUUAAAGGGUGCAAACGCUGUUUAUCAUAAUUGAACUGUAUCCGGGCUAAUUGUGGCCAUAUUUCACUGUCUAGGAGACAGCAGGCUGCCUGCUGACAGUGCCGCGUGCCGGAUUGAGGGCCCCCCGCAGCCGGGCAGCGCUGUCCUGCUGCCAGGCAUCUGCCUGCAGGGACGGGGCUGCCCGGCCUCCUGGAUGCUGCCUGCCACACCAGCAGCACUGCCCAGCCCCGCUGUGCCCAGUGACCCCUGGCAAAGCCAUCGCCUGUCCCCCAGCAUCUGUGUGAGGCUCAGGACUUUCCCUGUGCGCAGCUCCCCAAGGGGCUGCCAGGAGCUGCCAGGGACCCUCCUGGCUGAGGCUGGCAGUGGAAGAGGUAAUGUCCCCAUCAGUGCCACGUGUCUCUGGAGUGUCUCCCGAGACCCUCUCGUGGCAUCCCUUCCUGUCACUUGUGUGCCUAACAGGGGACAGCAGCUGGGCAUGAGGAGAGGCCAGCAAAGGAGGGGAGUCCCCAGCCCACUGGCUGGCAUGAGGGCAGAGGUGAGCCCAUCUCUCUGUGCCUUUGUCCUCUCUGCUGCCCAAAGUGACACUGAUGGCUGCAUAAGGCCCCUGGAGGUGACAGGUGUCCUGCCCAGCCAAGCCACAAUGCCAGCUCCUGCUGCUGUCACUUGUUCCCACUCAGCGAUCCCCUCACUGUCCUUAGGAUCACCUGCUCCAUCUCAGCUGUCCCCCAGACAACUGAGCCCCUUGGAAAAGCCUCAGCCCUUGGAGCCAGCUGCCAGUGGGAUCUAACAGGGUAACAGUGGCUUGAAAGCUGGGGAAACAGAGGUGCCAGCGCUGGGAGACACCCUGAACUCUGAGCUGCCACCCUGCAAAACUGGUGGGACCCUCUUGGGUCAAUGCCACCCACAUGCCCAUGCCGCCAGUGCUGUCCUUGCUGUCCCAAAGGAUGCCACGGCCCCUGGCAGCGAGUGUGCCAAGCUCAUCAUACAUCAUUUAGUGAGACUCAUUCCAAAUCAGCGCUAAGGUAAACACGCUUAUUAUAAUUAUCCAUGUAAAAAAAAAUCAACAACAGCAGAACAACUUUCUAAUAUGCAAUUACAGCCAUCUAUUGAUUUUA